AUUUUUAAACUAACAAUAAAUUGCUUUAAAAUGAAAUCAUUUCUGUGUGUUUUCGUAUUUCUGUCUGUUUUGCUGCUGACCGGAGCCAUUGCUGUACCCGUUAUGGAUCCGUUCUUACUCCAACCAGAUACGGACUAUGAAGAUGUGAAUGAAUGGAGCACAUUUUAAUUGCGCAAAAAGCCCCAACUACAUAGAUAUAAAAAACAAAUCUUUUGACACAUUGCUAUACUUUAAAAUUGAAUUCUUGAGAGGUGCCAAAAGCAUUAAAAUUAUGUGAAUUUAAUAUGUAACCCGUCCAACGACUUCACAAUAAAAUUAAUAUUUUCUGCCAUGGCAAAGAA